GGAGCCAUAGUUUAUUUGGUUAAAAUAGUCCCCUGUCACGGGACAGCACCGAGUUCGAUCCUCGGUGGCUCCGC
rnacentral:tRNA from 1 species